GACGAACGCUGGCGGCGUGCCUAAUACAUGCAAGUUGAGCGCUGAAGGUUGGUACUUGUACCGACUGGAUGAGCAGCGAACGGGUGAGUAACGCGUGGGGAAUCUGCCUUUGAGCGGGGGACAACAUUUGGAAACGAAUGCUAAUACCGCAUAAAAACUUUAAACACAAGUUUUAAGUUUGAAAGAUGCAAUUGCAUCACUCAAAGAUGAUCCCGCGUUGUAUUAGCUAGUUGGUGAGGUAAAGGCUCACCAAGGCGAUGAUACAUAGCCGACCUGAGAGGGUGAUCGGCCACAUUGGGACUGAGACACGGCCCAAACUCCUACGGGAGGCAGCAGUAGGGAAUCUUCGGCAAUGGACGAAAGUCUGACCGAGCAACGCCGCGUGAGUGAAGAAGGUUUUCGGAUCGUAAAACUCUGUUGGUAGAGAAGAACGUUGGUGAGAGUGGAAAGCUCAUCAAGUGACGGUAACUACCCAGAAAGGGACGGCUAACUACGUGCCAGCAGCCGCGGUAAUACGUAGGUCCCGAGCGUUGUCCGGAUUUAUUGGGCGUAAAGCGAGCGCAGGUGGUUUAUUAAGUCUGGUGUAAAAGGCAGUGGCUCAACCAUUGUAUGCAUUGGAAACUGGUAGACUUGAGUGCAGGAGAGGAGAGUGGAAUUCCAUGUGUAGCGGUGAAAUGCGUAGAUAUAUGGAGGAACACCGGUGGCGAAAGCGGCUCUCUGGCCUGUAACUGACACUGAGGCUCGAAAGCGUGGGGAGCAAACAGGAUUAGAUACCCUGGUAGUCCACGCCGUAAACGAUGAGUGCUAGAUGUAGGGAGCUAUAAGUUCUCUGUAUCGCAGCUAACGCAAUAAGCACUCCGCCUGGGGA
rnacentral:rRNA from 1 species